AUCCAGACUCCUACGGGAGGCAGCAGUGGGGGAUAUUGCACAAUGGAGGAAACUCUGAUGCAGCGACGCCGCGUGAGGGAAGACGGUCUUCGGAUUGUAAACCUCUGUCUUUGGGGAAGAAAAUGACGGUACCCAAAGAGGAAGCUCCGGCUAACUACGUGCCAGCAGCCGCGGUAAUACGUAGGGAGCGAGCGUUGUCCGGAAUUACUGGGUGUAAAGGGAGCGUAGACGGUGAUGCAAGUCUGGAGUGAAAGGCGGGGGCCCAACCCCCGGACUGCUCUGGAAACUGUAUGACUUGAGUGCAGGAGAGGUAAGCGGAAUUCCUAGUGUAGCGGUGAAAUGCGUAGAUAUUGCGCAGAACUCCGAUUGCGAAGGCAGCAUACCGGCGGCGAUCUGACGCUGAGGCACGAAAGCGUGGGUAUCGAACAGGAUUAGAUACCCGCGUA
rnacentral:rRNA from 1 species